GACAGAGGUGCCGAGCGUUAGGCGGGAUCACUGGGCUUAAAGCGUGUGUAGGCGGGUCGUUAAGUGUCUUGUGAAAUCCCACCGCUCACCGGUGGAACGGCUGGGCAUACUGGCGACCUUGAGAGGCCUAGGGGCUACCGGAACAAAUGGGUGGAGCGGUGAAAUGCGUAGAUAUCAUUUGGAACGCCAAUGGUGAAAACAGGUAGCUGGGGUUGUGCUGACGCUGAGACACGAAAGCCAGGGGAGCGAACGGG
rnacentral:rRNA from 1 species